ACCUUUUUAUCUCUAGGAAAUAAUGCAAAAGGUGUCUCAAGGCUCCUGACCAGUGAACAGAGAUUUGAGAAAGACAGCCAAGCUCAUGUUUUCUCCUGAUCAAGAAAAUCAUCCUUCCAAAGCCCCAGUAAAAUAUGGCGAACUCAUUGUCUUAGGGUAUAAUGGGUCUCUCCCAAACGGCGACAGAGGAAGGAGGAAAAGUAGGUUUGCUUUGUUUAAAAGACCUAAGGCAAAUGGGGUGAAGCCUAGCACCGUGCACAUUGCAUGCACUCCUCAGGCCGCCAAGGCAAUAAGCAACAAGGACCAGCAUAGCAUAUCGUAUACUUUAUCUCGAGCCCAGACAGUGGUGGUUGAAUAUACUCACGACAGCAACACUGAUAUGUUUCAG
rnacentral:lncRNA from 1 species